GGGAGUUCAACUAGAACAAUAGAAAAACAAGGGAAACCCUUGUUCUUGCUAAAAUCACUCAAUUGAUCAAGGAAUUCAAGCCUAAUCACUUGCAUGAUUCUAAAUAUUCGGUCAUCUCACAUACUCAGUAAAGUGCCGUGAAGGAAGAAAGCUCAAGUGCUAGGAAAACGGAAAACACGCAAGAUCGAGGUAAAUCCGCAACUUAGACGUGAUGGCGAAUUUGGAACGAACACACGCGUGAAACUUGUCUAUAUGCGCUUCCGCUAUUUUGUGAUGAAGUUAUGGUCAAAAGCUACUUUUGUUGUAAUUAGUUUUUGAGUAGUAACUAGUCUUUUUAAGUUAACAUGUUAAAUCUUUUAAACCAUAAAUGUUGUCGUUGGUAGAUAUAUAAACGUAAUGCCAUGGCGUUGUAUGUCCUUUUGAAAGUGUCUUUAAAUUCUUGUAUUAAGGAUUACUAAAA